UACGUAGGGUGCAGGCGUUAAUCGGAAUUACUGGGCGUAAAGCGUGCGCAGGCGGUCUGCUAAGAGAGGUGUGAAAUCCCCGGGCUUAACCUGGGAACUGCGCUUCUAACUGGGAGGCUAGAGUGCGGGAUGGGAGAGUGGAAUUCCUGGUGUAGCGGUGAAAUGCGUAGAUAUCAGGAGGAACACCGGUGGUGCAGACGGCUCUCUGGACCGUAACUGACGCUGAGACACGAAAGCGUGGGUAGCAAACAGG
rnacentral:rRNA from 1 species